UACGUAGGUGGCAAGCGUUGUCCGGAAUUACUGGGUGUAAAGGGAGCGCAGGCGGGAAGCCAAGUCAGCUGUGAAAACUACGGGCUUAAUUUGUAGACUGCAGUUGAAACUGGUUUUCUUGAGUGAAGUAGAGGUUGGCGGAAUUCCGAGUGUAGCGGUGAAAUGCGUAGAUAUUCGGAGGAACACCGGUGGCGAAGGCGGCCAACUGGGCUUUAACUGACGCUGAGGCUCGAAAGUGUGGGGAGCAAACAGG
rnacentral:rRNA from 1 species